rnacentral:rRNA from 1 species
ACGGGAGGCAGCAGUGAGGAAUAUUGGUCAAUGGACGGAAGUCUGAACCAGCCAAGUCGCGUGCGGGAUGAAGGCCCUACGGGUCGUAAACCGCUUUUGUACGGGGAUAAAGUCACCCACGUGUGGGUGUUUGUAGGUACCGUAAGAAUAAGGAUCGGCUAACUCCGUGCCAGCAGCCGCGGUAAUACGGAGGAUCCGAGCGUUAUCCGGAUUUAUUGGGUUUAAAGGGAGCGUAGGCCGUGCUUUAAGCGUGUUGUGAAAUGUAGGCGCCCAACGUCUGCACUGCAGCGCGAACUGGAGCACUUGAGUACGCAGGAAGUAGGCGGAAUUCGUCGUGUAGCGGUGAAAUGCUUAGAUAUGACGAAGAACUCCGAUUGGGAAGCCAGCUUACUGUAGCGCCACUGACGCUGAUGCUCGAAAGCGUGGGUAUCGAACAGGAUUAGAUACCCUGGUA